rnacentral:tRNA from 1 species
GUGCCAGUAACCCAUGUUGGCUGGGUACCUGACUUCCACUCAGGAUUUCGCGGGUUCGAUUCCUGUCUGGCACAC